UACGUAGGGCGCAAGCGUUGUCCGGAAUUAUUGGGCGUAAAGAGCUCGUAGGCGGCUUGUUGCGUCGACCGUGAAAACCCGGGGCUCAACUUCGGGCUUGCGGUCGAUACGGGCGGGCUAGAGUUCGGUAGGGGAGACUGGAAUUCCUGGUGUAGCGGUGAAAUGCGCAGAUAUCAGGAGGAACACCGGUGGCGAAGGCGGUUGCCUGGAGCUUUGCUGACGCUGAGGCGCGAAAGCGUGGGGAGCGAUCCGG
rnacentral:rRNA from 1 species